GGUGUGAGGCAGGUUGUGGGGCAAGUGAGCAGAGCUGGAUGGGUGUGGGGCAGGCUGUGGGGCAGGUGAGCACAGCUGGAUGAGUGUGUGGUAGGUUGUGGGGCUGGUGAGCACAGCUGGAUGGGUGUGCAUUAGGUGAGCACAGCUGACGGGUGCGGGGCGGGUGCUGUGGCCGGUCCGGGACAUUCCGGUAUUUAUAGCCCAAAUAAACGGUGCCACCGGCACCAAAGACC